UCGAGAAUCUUCGGCAAUGGGCGAAAGCCUGACCGAGCGACGCCGCGUGCGGGAUGAAGGCCUUCGGGUUGUAAACCGCUGUCAGUGGGGAGGAAGGCUCCGUGAAGAGCGGGGUUUGACCUAUCCGCAGAGGAAGUCCGGGCUAAGUUCGUGCCAGCAGCCGCGGUAAUACGAACCGGACAAACGUUAUUCGGAAUUAUUGGGCUUAAAGGGUGCGCAGGCGGCCCUGCAAGUCGGGUGUGAAAGCCCUCGGCUCAACCGAGGAAUUGCGCCCGAUACUGCUUGGCUUGAGGGAGACAGAGGCGAGCGGAACUGAUGGUGGAGCGGUGAAAUGCGUUGAUAUCAUCAGGAACACCAGUGGCGAAGGCGGCUCGCUGGGUCUCUUCUGACGCUCAUGCACGAAAGCUAGGGUAGCGAACAGGAUUAGAUACCCGCGUAGUCC
rnacentral:rRNA from 1 species